UUAAGGGUUAAUGUUGCUUGAAUGUAAGCAUAAUAAAUAUUCAGCAUGUCUCCUAAGACCUGGAGUAUCAUCAGAGACCAAGCUUGGAAAACCACAAAGAAUGACGCCCAGUUUCUAAGAGUCAUUCCGUGCUUUACAAUCAGCCCACAACCACCGAGUCCCAGGAAGCCCAGCCGAGACCGCGGCAGGUCCUGACGCAGCAUCAGCCUGAGUCUGAGCCCAGAGGAAGCUUCUGCUGCCACAAUUGCUGCGUGUGCUCAUGGCUUGGGUGCAGGCCCAACCACAGCGGACCAAGGGCAGGCUGAGAUUUGGCCUGGACUGGAGGGCUGUCUCAAGGAGGUAUCUUAAAUAGUGAAGAUGGAGAAAUAGUCAAUAAUGAAGAGCAUGAAUAUGCAUCCAAAAAAAGGAAAAAGGACCAUUUUAGAAAUGACACAAAUACUCAAAGUUUUUAUCAUGAAAAAUGGAUCUAUGUCCAUAAAGAAAGCACAAAAGAAAGGCAUGGCUAUUGCACCUUGGGAGAAGCCUUUAAUCGGUUAGACUUCUCAAGUGCAAUUCAAGAUAUCCGAAGGUUCAAUUAUGUGGUCAAAGAGGAUUUAGGCAGAGGGAUAUCAGCUGCAUGGAGAUCCAUUUAUGACCCAAGAGGUAAAGACAAGAAAAUGGGGCCCAGAGAGAUGGGCUGAAGGUCACAAUGGAAUCAAGGACAGAGACCAAAAACGUAGCUGUCCUGACAGCCGUGAAGAGCUUCUUCAUUACGACUUUAUUUCCUAAGUCUAUAAACUUUGAUUUUCCUCUGAUGUAAAUUAAGUGACUUUCUUAAAUGCAUCAUAUGACUUUUUAAAAAAUUUUUUAAAUUAUACUUUUAAGUUCUGGUA
rnacentral:lncRNA from 1 species